UUAAAGGAAUUGACGGGGCCCGCACAAGCGGAGGAACAUGUGGUUUAAUUCGAUGAUACGCGAGGAACCUUACCUGGGCUUAAAUGGGGAGUGACAGCUGUCGAAAGAUGGUUUUCUUCGGACACUCUUCAAGGUGCUGCAUGGUUGUCGUCAGCUCGUGCCGUGAGGUGUCGGGUUAAGUCCCAUAACGAGCGCAACCCUUACCGUUAGUUACCAUCAGGUUAAGCUGGGGACUCUAGCGGGACUGCCACCGUAAGGUGAGAGGAAGUGGGGAUGACGUCAAAUCAGCACGGCCCUUAUGUCCAGGGCUACACACGUGUUACAAUGGCCAGUACAAAGGGCAGCUACCGGGUGACCGGAUGCUAAUCUCUAAAGCUGGUCUCAGUUCGGAUCGAAGUCUGCAACCCGACUUCGUGAAGCUGGAUUCGCUAGUAAUCGCGCAUCAGCCAUGGCGCGGUGAAUACGUUCCCGGGCCUU
rnacentral:rRNA from 1 species